UGCAAUUUCCCCACCUCUGGAAAUCCAUUCCUACUCCCACACUGUUGAAAGGGCGUUCAUCCCAAAUUGUGCAGCCAAAAGUCUGCAGAGACUCAGCCCUCCAGACCAUGGCCGUCCCAAAGGUGCACCCCUUAAGAGCCAACUGGACUUUUCUGUCCCUUCUCCGAAGACUCCUCACCUCUCAUCCAAGAAGCCUCCCCAGCUCCAACAGGACAUUGGAGAAUGGAAGGAUUCACAUUCCCCGCAGGCAGCUGGUCACCUGCAUCCUUCCAGAGGAUCACCGAAGCAUCCGGAGGCCCCUCUGUGUCCCCAGGGUCACCUGAGCAGUGCUCCCAGUUCCUCCCAGUCCACAAUUUUCCUUUUCUCUUCUGGAAAUCCAUUCCCACUCCCACACUAUUGAAAGGGUGCUCAUCCCAAACUAUGUAGCUGAAAGUCUGUAGAUUCUCAGUUAUCCAAAUCAUGGUUGUCCCAAAGGUGCCCCUUCAGGAGGCAACUGAACUUUCAUGCUUGUAGAGAUUCUUCAAAGAAAAAUAGUCCAGUUGCCUCCUGAGGGUUAGGCUUCGCAAGAGAGUGAGUUGUUUUAAGUCCAAAUGUAACCUGUUUUCCCAUUCCCAAUGCUGAUCUGCCUUAAUUGCAUUAAUACUUCAACUAUGUCCACAGGUUUCUUGACUACUGCAAAGACAAUAAAGCUUGGAAGGGAUAUAAACACAGUACAGUAGACGAUGAGUUGCCAAUAGCAGAGCUGUCUUCUCUCAACAUAAAUGAUCAGCCAGCAGGUAACAGCUUACAAGAGACAAGUUACAUCCAGCAGCAAAUGGAGCCACAAUGGAGAUGUGAACAUUGAAACUAGUGCUGUGUGAUCCUGGUGAACACAGCCUUCUUGAAAAUUUCUGCAGGAUUGACAGACCAGACAAGUAGUUAAAUUUUAUUUGAUCUUCAUACCUGCUAUUUCUCAGGAGUAAAUAUCAGGGUUCCCAAAAUUCUGCUUAAAUAAAUAAUGCAGUAGAAAUCCAUGUGCGGUUACCACUAAUGACCAAAUUAUGUAUGUAUUCUUUCAUGAGUGCCUGCACAUUUGUAAUGCUGAGAACAACUGCAUAUGGGCACCUGUAGGGUAGGUCUGAGGAAUGGUAAUUGAAAUAUGUUUUGAUAUUUCAAACAGUGAUUACAUUUCAGUAUCAAGAGAUACUGUAGAGAUUAGUAGAGAUUAUGAAGAAUUUUGGGGAGAGGAUAGGACAAGGGAAAGUAGAAACUUACCAAAACCUUGUUAAGUUUCAAGACUUAGAUUUUAUCUAAUCAAUUUUUGUACUAAAUUUAUUAAAAUGCAUUAUAAAAUUUAA